rnacentral:rRNA from 1 species
CCAUCCGGUGGCAACACCGGUGAAGAUCUAGUGGCGAACGGGUGAGUAACACGUGAGCAACCUAUCCCGAAGACCGGGAUAACACCGGGAAACCGGUGCUAAUACCGGAUACCCCCACCGGGUCGCAUGGCCUGGUGAGGAAAUGGAUUCCGCUUCGGGAGGGGCUCGCGGCCUAUCAGCUAGAUGGUGGGGUAACGGCCUACCAUGGCAUCGACGGGUAGCUGGUCUGAGAGGACGAUCAGCCACACUGGGACUGAGACACGGCCCAGACUCCUACGGGAGGCAGCAGUGGGGAAUCUUGCGCAAUGGGCGAAAGCCUGACGCAGCAACGCCGCGUGAGGGACGAAGGCCUUCUGGGUUGUAAACCUCUUUCAGUAGGGACGAUAGUGACGGUACCUGCAGAAGAAGCCCCGGCCAACUACGUGCCAGCAGCCGCGGUGAUACGUAGGGGGCGAGCGUUGUCCGGAAUCAUUGGGCGUAAAGAGCUCGUAGGCGGCUUGGCAAGUCGGGUGUGAAAUCUCCAGGCUCAACCUGGAGUCGCCACUCGAUACUGCCAUGGCUAGAGUCCGGUAGGGGACCACGGAAUUCCUGGUGUAGCGGUGAAAUGCGCAGAUAUCAGGAGGAACACCAGUGGCGAAGGCGGUGGUCUGGGCCGGUACUGACGCUGAGGAGCGAAAGCGUGGGGAGCGAACAGGAUUAGAUACCCUGGUAGUCCACGCCGUAAACGUUGGGCACUAGGUGUGGGGUCCUAUCG